rnacentral:rRNA from 1 species
GACGAACGCUGGCGGCGUGCUUAACACAUGCAAGUCGAACGGAAAGGCCCUGCUCUUGUGGGGUGCUCGAGUGGCGAACGGGUGAGUAACACGCGAGUAACCCGUCCUUGACUUUGGGAUAACUCUAGGAAACAGGGGCUAAUACCGGAUAGGAGCUCCUGCUGCACGGGGGGGGUUGGAAAGUUUCGGCGGUAGGGGAUGGACUCGCGGCUUAUCAGCUUGUUGGGGGGGUAGUGGCUUACCAAGGUUUUGACGGGUAGCCGGCCUGGGAGGGUGACCGGCCACAUUGGUCCUGCGGUACGGCCCAGACUCCUACGGGAGGCAGCAGUGGGGAAUAUUGCACAAUGGGCGGGAGCCUGUUGCAGCAACGCUGCGUGCGGGAUAACGGCCUUCGGGUUGUAAACCGCUUUCGCCUGUGACGAAGCGGGAGUGACGGUAAUGGGUAAAGAAGCACCGGCUAACUACGUG